GCUUGAAACACCGGUCCCGGUAGGAUCACCGAAGUUAAGAAACGUUGAUCCUGGUCAGUACCUAGAUGGGUGACCAUUUGAGAACACCAGGAGCUGUAAG